rnacentral:rRNA from 1 species
GAGGAGCUUGCUCCUCGGGUGACGAGUGGCGGAUGGAUGUGUAAUGUCUGGGAAACUGCCCGAUGGAGGGGGAUAACUACUGGAAACGGUAGCUAAUACCGCAUAACGUCUUCGGACCAAAGUGGGGGACCUUCGGGCCUCACGCCAUCGGAUGUGCCCAGAUGGGAUUAGCUAGUAGGUGGGGUAACGGCUCACCUAGGCGACGAUCCCUAGCUGGUCUGAGAGGAUGACCAGCCACACUGGAACUGAGACACGGUCCAGACUCCUACGGGAGGCAGCAGUGGGGAAUAUUGCACAAUGGGCGCAAGCCUGAUGCAGCCAUGCCGCGUGUAUGAAGAAGGCCUUCGGGUUGUAAAGUACUUUCAGCGGGGAGGAAGGGAUGAGGCCUAAUACUCUUCGUCAUUGACGUUACCCGCAAAAGAAGCACCGGCUAACUCCGUGCCAGCAGCCGCGGUAAUACGGAGGGUGCAAGCGUUAAUCGGAAUUACUGGGCGUAAAGCGCACGCAGGCGGUCUGUCAUGUCGGAUGUGAAAUCCCCGGGCUUAACCUGGGAACUGCAUUCGAAACUGGCAGGCUAGAGUCUUGUAGAGGGGGGUAGAAUUCCAGGUGU